UUAAGCGACUAAGCGUACACGGUGGAUGCCCUGGCAGUCAGAGGCGAUGAAGGGCGUGCUAAUCUGCGAUAAGCGCCGGUAAGGUGAUAUGAACCGUUAUAACCGGCGAUACCCGAAUGGGGAAACCCAGUGUGUUUCGACACACUAUCAUUAACUGAAUCCAUAGGUUAAUGAGGCGAACCGGGGGAACUGAAACAUCUAAGUACCCCGAGGAAAAGAAAUCAACCGAGAUUCCCCCAGUAGCGGCGAGCGAACGGGGAGGAGCCCAGAGCCUGAAUCAGCAUGUGUGUUAGUGGAAGCGUCUGGAAAGGCGCGCGAUACAGGGUGACAGCCCCGUACACAAAAGCGCAUGUGCUGUGAGCUCGAUGAGUAGGGCGGGACACGUGGUAUCCUGUCUGAAUAUGGGGGGACCAUCCUCCAAGGCUAAAUACUCCUGACUGACCGAUAGUGAACCAGUACCGUGAGGGAAAGGCGAAAAGAACCCCGGCGAGGGGAGUGAAAAAGAACCUGAAACCGUGUACGUACAAGCAGUGGGAGCACCCUUUGGGGUGUGACUGCGUACCUUUUGUAUAAUGGGUCAGCGACUUAUAUUCUGUAGCAAGGUUAACCGAAUAGGGGAGCCGGAGGGAAACCGAGUCUUAAUUGGGCGUUAAGUUGCAGGGUAUAGACCCGAAACCCGGUGAUCUAGCCAUGGGCAGGUUGAAGGUUGGGUAACACUAACUGGAGGACCGAACCGACUAAUGUUGAAAAAUUAGCGGAUGACCUGUGGCUGGGGGUGAAAGGCCAAUCAAACCGGGAGAUAGCUGGUUCUCCCCGAAAGCUAUUUAGGUAGCGCCUCGUGAAUUCAUCUCCGGGGGUAGAGCACUGUUUCGGCUAGGGGGCCAUCCCGGCUUACCAACCCGAUGCAAACUGCGAAUACCGGAGAAUGUUAUCACGGGAGACACACGGCGGGUGCUAACGUCCGUCGUGAAGAGGGAAACAACCCAGACCGCCAGCUAAGGUCCCAAAGUCAUGGUUAAGUGGGAAACGAUGUGGGAAGGCCCAGACAGCCAGGAUGUUGGCUUAGAAGCAGCCAUCAUUUAAAGAAAGCGUAAUAGCUCACUGGUCGAGUCGGCCUGCGCGGAAGAUGUAACGGGGCUAAACCAUGCACCGAAGCUGCGGCAGCGACGCUGAUGCGUUGUUGGGUAGGGGAGCGUUCUGUAAGCCUGCGAAGGUGGCCUGUGAGGGUUGCUGGAGGUAUCAGAAGUGCGAAUGCUGACAUAAGUAACGAUAAAGCGGGUGAAAAGCCCGCUCGCCGGAAGACCAAGGGUUCCUGUCCAACGUUAAUCGGGGCAGGGUGAGUCGACCCCUAAGGCGAGGCCGAAAGGCGUAGUCGAUGGGAAACGGGUUAAUAUUCCCGUACUUGGUGUUACUGCGAAGGGGGGACGGAGAAGGCUAUGUUGGCCGGGCGACGGUUGUCCCGGUUUAAGCGUGUAGGUGUGUGUUCCAGGUAAAUCCGGUUCACUUUAACACUGAGGCGUGAUGACGAGGCACUACGGUGCUGAAGCAACAAAUGCCCUGCUUCCAGGAAAAGCCUCUAAGCAUCAGGUAACAUCAAAUCGUACCCCAAACCGACACAGGUGGUCAGGUAGAGAAUACCAAGGCGCUUGAGAGAACUCGGGUGAAGGAACUAGGCAAAAUGGUGCCGUAACUUCGGGAGAAGGCACGCUGACAUGUAGGUGAAGUGAUUUACUCAUGGAGCUGAAGUCAGUCGAAGAUACCAGCUGGCUGCAACUGUUUAUUAAAAACACAGCACUGUGCAAACACGAAAGUGGACGUAUACGGUGUGACGCCUGCCCGGUGCCGGAAGGUUAAUUGAUGGGGUCAGCGCAAGCGAAGCUCCUGAUCGAAGCCCCGGUAAACGGCGGCCGUAACUAUAACGGUCCUAAGGUAGCGAAAUUCCUUGUCGGGUAAGUUCCGACCUGCACGAAUGGCGUAAUGAUGGCCAGGCUGUCUCCACCCGAGACUCAGUGAAAUUGAACUCGCUGUGAAGAUGCAGUGUACCCGCGGCAAGACGGAAAGACCCCGUGAACCUUUACUAUAGCUUGACACUGAACAUUGAGCCUUGAUGUGUAGGAUAGGUGGGAGGCUUUGAAGUGUGGACGCCAGUCUGCAUGGAGCCGGCCUUGAAAUACCACCCUUUAAUGUUUGAUGUUCUAACGUGGACCCGUGAUCCGGGUUGCGGACAGUGUCUGGUGGGUAGUUUGACUGGGGCGGUCUCCUCCUAAAGAGUAACGGAGGAGCACGAAGGUUGGCUAAUCCUGGUCGGACAUCAGGAGGUUAGUGCAAUGGCAUAAGCCAGCUUGACUGCGAGCGUGACGGCGCGAGCAGGUGCGAAAGCAGGUCAUAGUGAUCCGGUGGUUCUGAAUGGAAGGGCCAUCGCUCAACGGAUAAAAGGUACUCCGGGGAUAACAGGCUGAUACCGCCCAAGAGUUCAUAUCGACGGCGGUGUUUGGCACCUCGAUGUCGGCUCAUCACAUCCUGGGGCUGAAGUAGGUCCCAAGGGUAUGGCUGUUCGCCAUUUAAAGUGGUACGCGAGCUGGGUUUAGAACGUCGUGAGACAGUUCGGUCCCUAUCUGCCGUGGGCGCUGGAGAACUGAGGGGGGCUGCUCCUAGUACGAGAGGACCGGAGUGGACGCAUCACUGGUGUUCGGGUUGUCAUGCCAAUGGCACUGCCCGGUAGCUAAAUGCGGAAGAGAUAAGUGCUGAAAGCAUCUAAGCACGAAACUUGCCCCGAGAUGAGUUCUCCCUGAGACUUUAAGUCUCCUGAAGGAACGUUGAAGACGACGACGUUGAUAGGCCGGGUGUGUAAGCGCAGCGAUGCGUUGAGCUAACCGGUACUAAUGAACCGUGAGGCUUAACCUU
rnacentral:rRNA from 1 species